AUGAGUGAAUUCGGCAGCAGGUUCUUCAGAGCGCCUCCCGGCAAGGGAAACAACCAAUCGCCCUCCUGCAACCAAUUCUUUGGCUCUCAGCUCAAGAAAAAGCUUGAAAUCUUUCCUGAACUGCCGCGCAUAGGCUCCGAUGACCACACGCCGUCUUCCUCGCCUCACGUGCUCAUCGAUGUCGUAUGCCGGGAUCUUGUUCCUCCUCAGUUCUUCAGGAGCCUGGAGUCACCUCCAAAGUUAAACUUACUGCACAAAAAGAAACAAGUCGAGCCGUGUAAAUUUCAUACCUCGGAGAGCCAGUGCAGGCUGUUGGCCGAGCAGGCGAGAUGCAAGGAGCCAGUGGUGAAGAGCCUCCCGUAG
rnacentral:rRNA from 1 species